GGUGAAUGGCUUAGUUGGGUAGAAGCAUCUGCUUGUCAGGCAAAAGGUGUCAGGUUCAAUCCCUGACAUCUCCA
rnacentral:tRNA from 1 species